GACGAACGCUGGCGGCGUGCUUAACACAUGCCAGUCGAACGGAAAGGCCUCUUUCGGGGGGUACUCGAGUGGCGAACGGGUGAGUAACACGUGAGUGACCUGCCCUUGACUUUGGGAUAACUUCAGGAAACUGGGGCUAAUACCGGAUAGGAGCUCCUGCUGCAUGGUGGGGGUUGGAAAGUUUCGGCGGUUGGGGAUGGACUCGCGGCUUAUCAGCUUGUUGGUGGGGUAGUGGCUUACCAAGGCUUUGACGGGUAGCCGGCCUGAGAGGGUGACCGGCCACAUUGGGACUGAGAUACGGCCCAGACUCCUACGGGAGGCAGCAGUGGGGAAUAUUGCACAAUGGGUGGAAGCCUGAUGCAGCAACGCCGUGUGCGGGAUGACGGCCUUCGGGUUGUAAACCGCUUUCGCUCAUGACGAAGCUUUGUGUGACGGUAGUGGGGAAAGAAGCACCGGCUAACUACGU
rnacentral:rRNA from 1 species